rnacentral:snoRNA from 1 species
UUGCAGACUCUUAAGAUCACACUGGCCUUUCCCAUGGUGUGAGGUGGGAUAGUGUGCAAUGGCUAUGAAUAACAGCCUCCUCGGUAGUGUAUGUAACCUGUUGGCAUGUAUUAGCUGCGCCAAGUAGGAGACCUUGGAGACAGCC